CACGUAGGGCGCAAGUGUUGUCCGGAAUUAUUGGGCGUAAAGAGCUCGUAGGCGGUCUGUUGCGUCCGCUGUGAAAACUCGGGGCUUAACCCCGAGCCUGCAGUGGAUACGGGCAGACUAGAGGUAGGUAGGGGAGAAUGGAAUUCCCGGUGUAGCGGUGAAAUGCGCAGAUAUCGGGAGGAACACCGGUGGCGAAGGCGGUUCUCUGGGCCUUACCUGACGCUGAGAAGCGAAAGCAUGGGGAGCGAACAGG
rnacentral:rRNA from 1 species